AACAACCCAUGUAAUACAAUAAGGGAAAAGAGAUACAUAGUUGGCUUACAAUCGCCACUUCACACAAAUACAUGAAUAAAGCAUUACAUCAUCCAAAUACAAUCAAGGUCCGACUACGGAAGCAAAAUAAAAGAAGAACCCCAAAUGCGACAAGGUCCCCGAUCGACCCCAACUGGGCUCCACUACUGAUCGACUAGAACGGAACAACACAAAGGACAAGAUCUUCAUCGAGCUCCUCCUUGAGCUAAGUUGCGUCACCUGCACGGACUCAUCGGCACCUGCAAGCUGGUUUUGGAAGUAUCUGUGAGCCACGGGGACUCAGCAAUCUCGCACCCUCGCGAUCAAGACUAUUUAAGCUUAUGGGUAAGGUAAAGGUAUGAGGUGGAGCUGCAGCAAGCGACUAGCAUAUUUGGUGGCUAACAUACGCAAAUGAGAGCGGGAAGAGAAGGCAAAGCACGGUCGAUAAAAGUAUGAUCAAGAAGUUAUCCUAAACAACCUACGUCAAGCAUAACUCCAACACCGUGUUCACUUCCCGGACUCCACCGGAAAGAGACCAUCACGGUAACACACGCUGUUGAUUCAUUUUAAUUAAGGUCAAGUUUAGGUUUUCUUCAACCGAACAUUAACAAAUUCCCAUCUGCCCAUAACCGCGGGCACGGCUUUCGAAAGUUCAAAUCCCUGUAGGGGAGUCCCAACUUAGCCCAUGACAAGCUCUCACGGUCAACGAAGGAAUAGACCUCCUCCCGAGACAUUCCGAUCAGACUCGGUAUCCCAGUUCUUCAAGACAUCCUCGACAAUGGUAAAACAAGUCCAGCAAGACCACCCGAUGCGCCGACAUCCCGAUAGGAGCUGGACAUAUCUCGUUCUCAGGGCAACACCGGAUAAGCAAUCCGUACAACUAAAACCAGCCCUCGAGUUUCCCCGAGGUGGCGCUGCAAGGGGCUCUAGUUUGGACCAACACUUAGACAAGCACUGGCCCGGGGGGUUUAAAAUAAGAUGACCCUUGGGAUGCGCGACUCCCAAGGGAAAAAGGCUAGGUGGCGAAUGGUAAAACCAAGGUUGGGCCUUGCUGGAGGAGUUUUAUUCAAAGCGAACUGUCAAGGGGUUCCCAUUAUAACCCAACCGCGUAAGGAACGCAAAAUCCGGGAACAUAACACCGAUAUGACGGAAACUAGGGCGGCAAGAGUGGAACAAAACACUAGGCAUAAGGCCGAGCCUUCCACCCUUUACCAAGUAUAUAGAUGCAUUAAUUAAAUAAGAUAUAUUGUGAUAUCCCAACAAGUAAACAUGUUCCAACAAGGAACAACAUCUCCAUGUUCCAACAAGGAGCAAACUUCAAUCUUCACCUGCAACUAACAACGCUAUAAGAGGGGCUGAGCACAGCGGUAACAUAGCCAAACAACGGUUUGCUAGGACAAGGUGGGUUAGAGGCUUGGUUUAACAAUAUGGGAGGCAUGAUAAGCAAGUGGUAGGUAUCGCAGCAUAGGCAUAGCAAAAGAGCGAGCAUCUAGCAAGCAAAGAUAGAAGUGAUUUCGAGGGUAUGAUAAUCUUGCCUGAGAUCCCGCAAGGAAGAAGAACGAGUCCAUGAAGAAGACAAAUGGACGUAGUCGAACGGUUCCUCACAAACGCGAUGUUAUCGGAACCAACCCGAAGAAGCAACACCGG
rnacentral:lncRNA from 1 species